rnacentral:rRNA from 1 species
GAUGAACGCUGGCGGCGUGCCUAAUACAUGCCAGUCGAGCGAACAGACGAGGAGCUUGCUCCUCUGACGUUAGCGGCGGACGGGUGAGUAACACGUGGAUAACCUACCUAUAAGACUGGGAUAACUUCGGGAAACCGGAGCUAAUACCGGAUAAUAUAUUGAACCGCAUGGUUCAAUAGUGAAAGACGGUUUUGCUGUCACUUAUAGAUGGAUCCGCGCCGCAUUAGCUAGUUGGUAAGGUAACGGCUUACCAAGGCAACGAUGCGUAGCCGACCUGAGAGGGUGAGCGCCCACACUGGAACUGAGACACGGUCCAGACCCCUGCGGGAGGCAGCAGUAGGGAAUCUUCCGAAAGGGGCGAAAGCCUGACGGAGCAACGCCGCGUGAGGGAUGAAGGUCUUCGGAUCGUAAAACUCUUUUAUUAGGGAAGAAAAAAUGUGUAAGUAACUAUGCACGUCUUGACGGUACCUAAUCAGAAAGCCACGGCUAACUCCGUG